GCUGGCGGCGUGCUUAACACAUGCAAGUCGAGUGCGCGUCCCGGUCGCAAGACUGGGGUGGCGCACGGCGCACGGGUGCGUAACACGUGGGUAAUCUGCCCUCUGAUGGGGAAUAACUCGCCGAAAGGCGAGCUAAUUCCGCAUAACAUUCCGGGGACUUUGGUUCUUGGAUUCAAAGGCGUAAGUCGUCGGAGGAGGAGCCCGCGCACGAUUAGCUAGUUGGUGAGGUAAUGGCUCACCAAGGCUUUGAUCGUUAGCUGGUCUGAGAGGAUGGCCAGCCACACUGGAACUGAGACACGGUCCAGACUCCUACGGGAGGCAGCAGUGGGGAAUCUUGCACAAUGGGCGAAAGCCUGAUGCAGCGACGCCGCGUGGGGGAUGAAGCUUCUCGGAGUGUAAACCCCUUUCGACCCGGACGAAUGCCUCGCAAGAGGACUGACGGUACGGGUAUAAGAAGCCCCGGCUAACUACGUGCCAGCAGCCGCGGUAAGACGUAGGGGGCCAGCGUUGUUCGGAAUUACUGGGUGUAAAGGGUUCGUAGG
rnacentral:rRNA from 1 species